ensembl:lncRNA
CCUUGCCUCUGAUACCCAUGCAUCUGGAAAGAUAGCUGUGCUGCACCAGAAACAAAACGGUGGAAGCAGUUGGUUGGAGAACAAGGUGGGACGGGGCAGUCGAGGCAGCAGGCUGGUAUCACGGGUCCUUGUCUUGCUGAGAAGAGUCUUAGAAGGUCAGGAGCCAGGCAUAAAGCGACAUGAGUUGGAAUGUCUUUGAGUAGAACGGUCUUUUCUUGAGAUGAAAGCUUCCUUCCUCCGUCCCUCCCUUCCUUCCUUUCUUUUUGCCAGAUACUCUGAUGCUCACCUCAUGACAGGACAUCAUCAGGGGAGCCAGCACGUAGUUAAGACCCUGCGGUUCUUGUUCUGGAGUUUACACCGCAUCGGAGGAGACAGGAGGACCCCACCCAGGAGGAGAGAAGGUUGGGAGUGGGGGUCCCGGACCUGCGGGGCAGAAGACAAGAGGAAGCUCUUGCUCCCCAAGCAUCACCCCUAUUUCUAGCCCACGUUUGUAUCCUAUGCCUUCCUUCCAAGUUUCUGUACAGAAGCGAGAGAUGUCUUGGGCCCUCUGGAUGCACUGAGACAUUGGAGAAAACAGAUCCAAGAGGUGAGCUUGAAGAGCAGAAAGGGGCUAGGAGGAGUUUGUCUGGGAAAGAACAGACUUAAUUGGCACUAGAGCGCUCCCCUUAUAGAAGCACAGGGAUCUUUGGCUUUAAGAACUAGGGAAGCCUGAUGGGUAGGGCCAGAUUUUUCCAGGCUGGCCACCUCCAGGGGAGCUCACUGAUGAUUAUUCCCUGGGACCUCUGCCUCUGACGUCCUGCCCCCCGCAGUGAGCCACUGCCAAGCCCUGCUUUUCCAGGAUAUCAUCCAAGAUCUAUAGGAUAUUACUCCUUUUAGCUGGCAUUCUGGAAGAGCAUAUCAAAUCCAGAAAAGCCAGGCUCUUUGUUCCUGUCCACAACAACAUGCCCUCUGGAAUAAACAACACAAAGAAAUGGAAGAUGGAGUUUGG